AUCGCUUCUCAGCCUUUUGGCUAAGAUCAUGUUAGUUUUGUUUUGUCCGUUUUAAUGUCUGAUAUACUCUAUACCUGAGUUAAGGACUGAAUAAUAAUCUGACUUAGGAAGAAGUUGAGUUAGGAGCUUGCUCCUUCAACUUCGCGCAUUGUGCUGGUACUGCAGUGUUUCUGGGAAUAGUGCACCCCUC